ACAGUGGGAAAGGAUGAGGUUCUGAACUCAGAAACAGUGGGCUGGUAGAGAAGGAGACACAUUUGUGCAAUAUUUAGGAAGCAAAAUUGUAGAGCAGGAAUGGAUCUGAAGUCAAUGAAAAACUCUUCAUAGCUCUAGUUGUUGGGCUUCCCCAGAAGAUGACAUUGAAAGGAAGGUUUGGAUGCAAGUUGUUCAUUUAGGAGGAGAUCUCAGGAAGCACAAAGUAUUUCCUUGAGUCAGGACCUCCAAGUCCUCCCCUAACUAGCCACUGUGCCUUCUCCAGGUAGAAACAGCUUUCUGUCUCAUGACUGACACCCUUCCUUGGUUCCUGUCAUCUGUAGCCAGGUAUGCUGGGUGCUGGAGAGAGCCCUGGACUUGGAGUCAAAAGACUGCAGUUGGAGCAGAGGAUCUUCCCUCAGAAGUUCUGCUGUGGGCUGAGUCGUUUCACCUCUCUGGGCCCCAGAUGGACCUUUGUAAAACUGAGUGGAGGCGAGGAGGUGGGUGAUGUGGAAUCUCUGUGAUGCCUCGGAGCCAUAAGUGUUCAUGACACUCCAUGUCUGAUUCUCCUCAAGGGGAUCUUCGUCACUUGUGGUCACAUGUCCUGGUUUCCCCAGGGGCAUCUACACUAUGUCACAUGAGGCUAGUUUUUAGUAAGUGCUCUCUGGUUGGUUUCUAUGAUGUAAGCUUCUCUUCAUGUAGCUAAGAGAUGAUACUUUAAAUGGAUAAAAAGGGAUAUUUUUAAAGCUGCUUUCUCAAAUUCAUCCUGGCUGCAUUGCUAUGGAACAUGGCCCUGGAGCUGGCAUUUCACUGUCUAUUGACCAUGCAACCUGGGGCAAGGGACUUAAUUUCAAACAACUCAGGGUCAGGAAGCAACUACCUCAUUGGACUAAAUGAGAGAGUCCUUGCCCAGAAGGAGCUGGGUGCUUCUUAUCCUCAUGCCUCUGGCACUGUGCUUCAGACUCCAUCCUGACACUUCUCAUUCUGCACUGGACUCCCUUGGACUCCCCUGAGGACAGGUACCACAGCUUACUCAUCCAUGGUGGCCAUGCUUCUCACCCAAGACGGCAGCUCAUCAACCACAGUUGACCCAUAAAACUUCUGACUUUGCCUUUUUCCCCUCCUUUUCUCUUAUGUCCCCUCUGAAGCCUGUUCGCCAACCUCUCUGGGAAUUCUAAUGUCUCCUUCUUGCCCUUUUUAUUUAAAAUUUUAGGCUCAGUAAA
ensembl:lncRNA novel transcript